AGCGAACGCUGGCGGCAGGCCUAACACAUGCAAGUCGAACGAACCUUUCGGGGUUAGUGGCGGACGGGUGAGUAACACGUGGGAACGUGCCUUUAGGUUCGGAAUAACUCAGGGAAACUUGUGCUAAUACCGAAUGUGCCCUUCGGGGGAAAGAUUUAUCGCCUUUAGAGCGGCCCGCGUCUGAUUAGCUAGUUGGUUGAGGUAAUGGCUCACCAAGGCGACGAUCAGUAGCUGGUCUGAGAGGAUGAUCAGCCACAUUGGGACUGAGACACGGCCCAAACUCCUACGGGAGGCAGCAGUGGGGAAUCUUGCGCAAUGGGCGAAAGCCUGAUGCAGCCAUGCCGCGUGAAUGAUGAAGGUCUUAGGAUUGUAAAAUUCUUUCACCGGGGAAGAUAAUGACGGUACCAGGAGAAGAAGCCCCGGCUAACUUCGUG
rnacentral:rRNA from 1 species